GGAGUUGUGGCUCAGUGGUAGAGCACUUGCCUGGCAUUUGCAAGACACUGGAUUCGAUUCUCAGCACCA
rnacentral:tRNA from 1 species